rnacentral:rRNA from 1 species
UACGUAGGGUGCAAGCGUUAAUCGGAAUUACUGGGCGUAAAGCGUGCGCAGGCGGUUAUGUAAGACAGUUGUGAAAUCCCCGGGCUCAACCUGGGAACUGCAUCUGUGACUGCAUAGCUAGAGUACGGUAGAGGGGGAUGGAAUUCCGCGUGUAGCAGUGAAAUGCGUAGAGAUGCGGAGGAACACCGAUGGCGAAGGCAGCCCCCUGGGCUGACACUGACGCUCGAGGCACGAAAGCGUGGGGAGCAAACAGG